rnacentral:tRNA from 1 species
GGCUGGAGAGGAUGGCUCAGUGGUUAAGAGCACUAACUGCUUUUCCAGAAGUCCUGAGUUCAAAUCCCAGCAGCCA